rnacentral:lncRNA from 1 species
ACUCUACCAAAUUGUUCAUGUAUUGAGAAGACAGAUUGAAUAACAAUUUUCUGAUCAUUUCAUCUCCUCUCCAUCUCUUCAUGUAUUGAGAAAACAGAUUGAAUACCAAUUUUCUGAUCAUUUCAUCUCCUCUCCAUCUCUCUUCUUCCCUCCUUCAUCCUUCUUCAAUCAAGAAAUCUCUGCUUCUCAUAUGGAUUCUGUAUCAACUUCUGGGUGAUAAAAAUAUUGGUUGUGAGAAGAGGAUAUUGAUUGAGCAAUCAAUGGUGUAGAACUUUACUUGUAGAACUUUAUUUGAAUCACAUUAUAAAUAAAGCAAUCAUGUCCAAUAUGAGAUAUGUAGUUUUAACUUUUACCUGUGAUAGACCUCCUCAAAACCAGUUACUAGAGAAAACAAGAUUCAUGUCGAGCAAUACUAAUUUAUCAUAGUUAUGUGAAAAAUUAAUGACAAACAUUAAACGAUAAAUCAUACCCGAUCCCUCGCUUUGAGUAUUCAUUGUUCAAUUUAUAUUGUGCCUUUGUACAAGUCAAUAAUAUCAUUUAGGAUAUUUGGGAUGGUUAAUGGCUUAUGUUGGGAUCGGAUGAGCGCAGAUGAGUUUUGGCAUGUUUGGAACAAUUUUGCAGCUGUAAAUUUUCUGCUAACAGCUGGUGCGUCACGAUAAUGAAGAGAGCCGGGAGUUCAGAUUAAGGAGGGUCAGUUGACCUCUGUGAUAACAAGGUUCUGGCCGUGAAAGCGUAAGAGUUGACA